UUGUUGUUAGACAAGUACAUUGUGUGCUGCAGUCCAAUUACCCUAGAAAAAAAAUCUCCAAUCAUUUCUCUGCGAGAUCUAUGGUAAUUAUAUUUCUAUGGAUUGACUGCAGAUGAUGUACACCAUUGGUUAUAAGACAAAUUCACGUGGCAUAAUUGCGGACAAAAUAUAAAGAUAUACAUUUUUUGAAAAAGUAGAUGAUAAAACUGAUAUGGCGUUAUUGCGGACAAAUUUGGAAAAUACAAAAAAGUUGGACAGGAGGCAAAUGAGACAAUUAAUAUACUAUGAGUAAUAAUAUAUUACAGGUUUUGCAGCAUCUUAGCAAGGUGAACUUGCUCGUGAGACAUCCUUUACUAAUUCAUGGUAAAUAUCUCUUGGAACUCCAUUAAAUUUGGGGAAACCAUUUCUCACUCAUUCAGUUAAAUUCUAAAUGUAGUAGUUACUGUUUCAAAAAAUAUGAAGUUAUACACCCUCCGUUUCAUAAUAUAGUGUGUAUAGAUUUUUGAAAAGUAAAACUUUGUACAUUUUAACCAAAUUUUUAAAUAAAACUAUUUAUGUGUAAAAUAGAAAAAAUAUAAAAUAUGAAAGUAUGCCUUAUGAGAAUCUAAUGAUAUAAGUUUGGAAUUCUAGAUGUGAAUAUUUUUCUCCACAAAGCGGGUCAAAUUUUGUGAGGUUUGAAUUUCCAAAAAAUCUACAUGCACUACUUAUAGAAUGGAGUGAGAAUAUUAUAUAUUUUAUCAUAAUAUUUUUCAUAUCUGAAAUACAGCUUGGAAUUUGGAAUUAAACAUAUAUAUUGUAUUAAUCUAAAAAUUGUACAUAUAGUUGCUUCGAAUCCAAAGCUUGUUUCUUUUUCUCUUGAAAAUUCCUGUAACUGUACAAAAAAUCACGAUAGAAAACAUUAUACAUUAAUCUUUGAUUCAAAUUUUAAGUUUAGGUCUUCAUAUUUAGGUUAUGUUAAUAGUUAAGCGCACUUAUGCAUAAGGUAAAAAAACCUCAAGAAGGAAGGAGUCCAAAGUAAGCAACUCAAUUAUUCUCCAAUCAGUUCUUUGCGAAUUCUUCGGUAAUUAUUUUUCUAUGGAGUGACUGCAGAUGAUGUACACCAUUGGUUAUAAGACAAAUUCUGGCAUUAUUGCGGACAAAAUAUUAAAAAAAAAUUGGACAAGUAAAUUAUAAAAUUGAUAUGGCGUUAUUGCAGACAAAUUUGGAAAAUACAAAAAGUUGGAUAGGAGGCAAAUGACACAAUUAAUAUAUUAUGAGUAACAAUAUAUUACAGGUUUUGCAGCAUCUUAGCAAGGUGAACUUGCUCGUGAGACAUCCUUUACUCAUUCAUGAUAAAUAUUUUUUGGAACUCCAUUCAAUUCGGGGAAACCAUUUCUCACUCAUUCAGUUAAUUCUAUAUGGAGUAAUUAGUGUUUCUGAAAAUCUGAAGUUAUACUCCCUCCGUUUCAUAAUAUAGUGCGUACAGAUUUUUGAGAACUCAAACUUUGCAAACUUUAAGCAAAUUUAUAAAUAAAACUAUUCAUAUGUAAAAUACCAUAAAUAUAAAAUAUGAAAUUACAUCUUAUGGGAAUCUAAUGAUAUAAGUUUGGAAUUCUAGAUGUGAAUAUUUUUCUCCACAAAGCUGAUCAAAUUUUGUGAGGUUUGAAUUUUCAAAAAAUCUACAUGCAGUACGUUAUAGAAUGGAGGGAGAAUAUUACAUAUUUUAUCAUAAUAUUUUCAUAUCCGAAAUACAGUUUGGAAUUUGCACUUAAACAUAUAUAGUGUACUAAUCUAAAAAUUGUACAUCUAGUUGUUUUGAAUCCAAAGCUUGUUUUUUUUCUCUUGAAAAUUCCUGUAACUGUACAAAAAAUCACGAUAGAAAACAUUAUACAUUAAUCUUUGAAUCAAAUUUUAAGUUUAGGUCUUCAUAUUUAUGUUAUGUUAAUAGUUAAGCGCACUUAUGCAUAAGGUAAAACAACGUCAAGAAGGAAAUAGUCCAAAGUAAGCAACUCAAUUACUU
rnacentral:lncRNA from 1 species